rnacentral:lncRNA from 1 species
CCCAGAACUUCUCAACACCCCAACCCGAGACCACCCCUACAGCCACCUCUUCCGCAUUGUUAUCCCCACCACCAAAAUCAAACCCCCAACUUGUAAUUAAACUCAAUACAAAUCAUAACCAACCAUGAAUCACAACAAAAAUUCAAAAAAUAAAUAAAUAUAAGCAUUCCAUAACCCACAAACACAAGAUCUCUGUUUAUCUCUCUAUGUGUGUGUGUGUGUUUGUCUCUCUCUCUCUCUCUCUCUCUCUCUCUCUCUCCUCCCAUGGGCAGAUCGGGUGGAGGUUGCGGAUUGAGUAGCAUGACGCAGAUAUUACAUUGCUUGGGUUUUGGUCGGGUGGACUAAGCAAUUUCAGGAGUUAAGGUGAUUUUUUGGACGAAGAGGGAUGUUGGAGUUGGGAGACUGGUGAGGUAGCUAGGGGAUGAUGGUGGG